UCACAUGUGGCACUCAUUUCUUAUUGUCCCCUUUUUGCCAGAAAGCAGUGGUGAUGAAACACGAGGCCAGUGGAGCUAAGGCCAAAGGCCAAAUUCCUGUGCAGUUGCUGAGCACUAGAGCACUACAAGGAAAGAAACAGUUUUUGCGAGUCUACCCCUGCCACCCCACCGACUUAGCCAGCACGGCACAAAUGUAUGCAAUUGGAGAGGAAGGGGGCUUCCGGGUCUGUGACUGGCCUGGUACAACUUGCAUCCCCAGGGGAAAAGCAAUCCAAAUUCCCCUCCAACUGGUGGAAAGCAAGGUCGCAAUGUCAUCUCUGCUCAUGAAAAAUAACCAAUUUGGAAAGUGCUGGUCCAAACCAUUCUGCAGAAUUUAGGGAGUCACAGUGCCCUGUCAGAGGGUAGGAAGGCUGAUGUUGCUUAGCACAGGGAUUUCCUCCUUUGGGCCUUUAUCCAAAAUUUAAGCAGAACCAAAUACUUUUCUCUGAAUAGUAAACAAAUUCCUCAGAGUAAAGAAAGGUGAGUACAUACUCAGCCCCUGGUAAUACUUGAUCCACCCCAGCUGUAUUCAUCCCAACCUAUUUUCCCCUAAUCUUAACAUUUCUUUAAAACAAAAACAAGUUCACAGACAAUGACUAUUUUAAUUUACACUCCUCUGUCUCCGAGAACUUAGUGGCGGCACAGCAAUGCCAAUUGUGACUAAGAGGCAGGAGGGUGUAGAGAAAGCAGAAUCCCUGGGUUUAAAACCUCUCUCUAAAAAACUCUGUGGGACUCCCCAGAAAGCCACUUACCUUCUCUGAACCCAAGUUUCCUCGCUGCUCUGACAGAGAUAAUACUCACUUCCUAGAUGCACUGGGAGGAUCGACUGGGAAGCAUGGUGAAGUAAUGGUUGUAGAGGUACUUAGUACACAACAAAUGUUACUGCCUGUCUUCUCAGUUUCAUUUCUGGAAACUGUAAGUCAUUGAAACACUGGAAUGAGAGCGGCCCUGCUGGAAAACCUCCUUGUGGAAGGUAUCUCCCCUUCUGCCACCACCUCCCUGAGGAUCAGAUACAUACUUCUUAUAAUUGCACACCUCCUCUGGAAGCCUCUCCACAGAUCCGUCUGGACUCACCCAACCUUGUGCUUCAUCCCAUUUUCUCUGUGGUUAAUUGCCAAGAUCCCCCAACUGUCCCUGACUGCAGAAUCUUUCACCCUCAUUGAACUGGCUAUCUGGUCCUUUCAGAUUUCCCUCCUAAAUAGACCUGGACCAUCUUUCUAUCACUGCACUCUGCACUUUUGCUCCUCAUGUUUGAACUAUCGUGACAGCCUCCAAACUGGUCUGUCUCCCUUCACCCGAAUGUCCCUUUUUCCGAAACACAUGCUGCAAUGCUGCCCAAGGUUCUUUUCAAAAAUCCAAUUCUCAUCAUGUCACUGCCUUGCUUCAGAGGAAUCAUGGCUCUAACUUUGCACACAGCAGAAACCCCAACUCAACUGCAUUCAUGGCUUUUUGGCCACGUGGGUCCUCUGGCCUUUUCAGCUACACCUCCAGCCACUCUCUCAGUGACCACUAUGCAGUGAACAUCACAUUUCCCAUACACUGAACACUCUGUGCACUUUCACCCCCUGAGCCUUUUCUCAUGUGGUUCCCUUUGCCUAGAAUGCCCUCUCUUUCCCAGUUGAUAAACCUCUUUUCAGUCUUUCUGGAAAGAACUCUAUUUCCUAUGUGGGCCAGUACUCAAAGGUCAAGUGUAAAAAAUUUUCAUGGAACCAGAAGCUCCCCCAGAGAGGUUCCUCAUUUUUUCCCCUCACUCUCUGGUGUCUCCUGGGAUCACCAGGACAGCUGCGCAUUGCAUAUUCUCUUGGACAUCACACAUUCUAUUUGGCUUAAGAACUACUCAAAUGUUCAUCUAAAGAUGCCAGGUCUGAGCAGGACCUUCUUAAUAAGGCUGAUUAAAAAAAAAAAAAAACUUGCUCAAAAUAGUUUCCUUCCAUCAACAAGGAAUAUGUGUGAUUUCCUAUGUAAUUACCACAGAUUUAUAAACCAGAACACUGACUGCAGGACUUAAGGAGGCAAAGUGUAAUUAGUGUUGGGUGAUUCAUACCUUGGACCUUGGAACAUGUCCACAAAGGUUUCCAUUGUUUGACUAUCAUUCCAGGAUAAAACCCCAAGUAAAAUAAUUUCAGGAUAUUAAUCAGUAACUUCUGGAUCUGGAACCAAUAAAACUGUUUUGAAGAUUACAUCUUGUCUUUUAAACUUAAUGCUUGCAUUCCUUAAUGCCAAAGUAUUCCUAUGGACCACGGCUAUGUUAUAAACAAUGCCUUCUUUGGGGAAGUGAAUUUGGCACUUGGGUGGCAUUGGUACUGUAGCAAAGGUCUGAUCAAUCUCAAGCUUGUAGACUGACCAUUUUAUGGUUGGAUUUUGCUCUCAGUACAUGUCUAAGUCAUGUACUGGCCCUCCUAGUCCUAAAUCCUUGACAAUUAAGACACCUAGAAACUACAGUGUGGGGUUUGGGCUAGGAAACAGAGCAGGCCCAGGUGACAGGGCACGCCUGAGUCCUUGCUGAGUCUUUUAGCAACUUUUGGGGCCUUGAGGUGACGUGGCAGGACCUGCUGAAUGGGGCUCAGGGACGCUAUCUUAUCUGCAGAAGACUAUUCCUGAUGACCAUUCGGUGACCUCCCAUCUUUUGCCAUAUUCUGGCUCUUUAUGGACCUGACAGGCUUGUGAUUAGGCAUAGGCCAGAACAGAUAUCACUCACUUGAGUGUUAAUCACCCUUCAGACCCAGGGUUCCCAAUUCCCACAGACUCCUGGUACAGAGCCAGGGGGCUCAGACAUAGGCCAGACUGGGUGUGGAAGAGACAGAGAAGCCUGGGCCCUGUUUGUUCUGUGGUGUCCAAGGCAGAGAAGAGGCAUCUAGGAGUCUCACUCUGCCUCCUGAUUUUCUUCACUGAGCAAAAUAAAUCAAGAGAAGGUGAUCUGAUUUUCAUUCUAAAGCAGUGGAUCUCAAAGUGGGCUAACAGCAUCAGCAACACUUGGGAACUUGAUAGAAAUGUAAGCUCUCCAGCCUUACCUCUGCCUACAGAUUCGGUGCUUUGUGGGGCAGGGCCCCACAAUCUGUGUUUUAAUGAGCCUACUGGGUGCCUCUGAUGCUGCUUGAGCUUGAGAACCACUGAUCUAAUGAAUCUUCAUGUUCAGUGCUGCUUUGAGGCAGGACUGGCUUAGAUGAACAGAUGUCUAAAUUCUGCAGGCACAGAAUUGGAAUAUUUUUCCUCUUCUAUCAACCUACAACUGGCUGCUAAAUGUAAAAUUGUCAGGUUCUUGUAAUUACACGUUUCAGGAGGAAUAAUAAAGGGUGUCAGGCUUCUGAAUGGAGGUUUUGAUUCAUACAGUAUUGUGAGUUCAACUUUCCAAGCAACAGGCCAAAGCCUCCUGUCCACAAAGGGGCAAGCAUACAAAUAGUUUGGCUGUUUCCAAUUGGGACCAAAUGGAAACCAUCUGGACUCCACCCUUAAGAGGUUAAUAUAAAUCAGCUCCAUCUGACUCUUUAUUUUGAUGCAGGUAGAACUCUUCUACCAAAGACAAAACUCACCCCCAACCAAAUACCUUAUGACUGAAAGUAAUUAUCCAUUGUGGGAAGCUAUUUUUUCACUUGCUUUGUGAACUCUGGAAAAUGGUCUGCUCUGACAAGAAGCUAUAAAAUAAAUACGAAUUAAACACAGGAUUUUUUUUUUCUAUUCAUUUGAGGCACAGAAUCCCUUGAGAGCCAAAAGACUUUAAUGGCUCCCACUGUCUACUGGAUCAAGUCCCAACUCUGGGGCUGACAUGCAAAGUCUUCCUUAAUGUGACCUAGCAUUUUUGACAGGUCUACCCACCCACAUCCUCUUGUUCCAGCUAAACUUGUAGGCUUUCGGGCUUGCACCGUUAAGCCUCUCUCCUCUCUCAAAUCCUUCUUCCUGUAAGUCCUUUCUUUCCACAUGUCAACUUCUAACUCCUCCUCAGUUUCACCCCUGGGGAACAAUGCCCUCCUCUGAACCCAGUGUCCAUCCCUGGGUUCUCUGAGUUCACUGGGUUCUCUAAACCCAGUGUCCAUGUUUGGCCCCUGAAAGAUGCUGCCUUGUGUGGCUGUUUUCCUAGAUGUGUAUCCUGUUUAUAAACUACAUUCUGAACCCCCCCUGUUAUGAACUGAGUUGUGUUCCCUCCCCAAAUUCCUAUGUUGAAGUCCUAAGUCCCAGCUCCUCAGAAUGUGAUCUUUUUUGGAUGUAAGGUCGUGGCAGAUGUAAUUAGUUAAGAUGAGGUCAGACUGGAGUAGAGUUGGCCCCUAAUCCAGUAUGACUGAUGUCCUUAUAAAAAGGAAAUCUUGGACACAGACGCACACAGGGAGAAUGUGUGGGGAACAUGAAGGCCAAGGUCGGGGUGAUGCAUCUAUAAGCCAAGGAACACUAGAUUGCCAACAAACCACCAGUAGCUAGGAGACAGGCAUGGAACAGAUUCCCCCUCAGAACAUCUAGAAGGAACCAGCCCUGCCGACAUCUUGAUCUUAACUUCCAGGCUCCAGAACUGAAGUCUCAACAAAUAGAAGUGGUCAGAACCUCUCUCCAGCCUUGAGAAGUCUUGAAGUUCCCAUACAGAUUUUGACCUUUGGGUCUGGGUGCAAUGUCAAGUUAACUGCACAGCGUGAUACACAGAUUCAGUCUUUGUCCUCAUUACCACUUUCUGCUAGGUCUAUAUGGAGAGUUAGAACUAGUGACCCAGCAGUUCCUCUGCCUUCAGAUGUCAUCUGGCCCAGUGUAAGGACUGUCCUCUGUAGGGCCCCCUACCUUGGAGACCAAUGAUCAUCCUCAUCCCAAAAGGAAUGCCCAAAAAUCAACUCCUCCGAAAGGAUCUUUGAUUGAAAAUAUCCCCAAAUGGUAAAUAAAUGUCUAAAACAAGUGA